rnacentral:rRNA from 1 species
UGUAUGCGGGGGCGGAGGGCGCGGGAGGGCGGGGGGGGGAAGUGUUGUUGGGGAGUACUGGGCGUAAGGGCGGCGAGGGGGGGUCGGUAUGUCCGUAAGUGAAAUCCGGCCGCGCAGCGGGGGGUGUGCUUGGGAAACGGCAGGUCUGGGGACCGGUAGAGGUCGGUAGAAUUCCCGGUGUAGCGGUGGAAUGCGUAGAGAUCGGGAAGAACACCCGUGGCGAAGGCGGCCGACUGGGCCGGAUCCGACGCUGAUGCGCGAAAGCGUGGGGAGCAAACAGGAUUAGAUACCCUGGUAGUC